rnacentral:rRNA from 1 species
UACAGAGGUCUCAAGCGUUGUUCGGAUUCAUUGGGCGUAAAGGGUGCGUAGGUGGCGCUGUAAGUCGGGUGUGAAAUUUCGGAGCUUAACUCCGAAACUGCAUUCGAUACUGCGGUGCUUGAGGACUGGAGAGGAGACUGGAAUUUACGGUGUAGCAGUGAAAUGCGUAGAUAUCGUAAGGAAGACCAGUGGCGAAGGCGGGUCUCUGGACAGUUCCUGACGCUGAGGCACGAAGGCCAGGGGAGCAAACGGG